ensembl:lncRNA
AGAAUCGUAGAAUGAAGAGCACCAUGAAUGAAGACUGAGUGAAGGAAUUUUACAGGGUGAUUUUGAAGGGAAGGAGUCAGACAAUCUUGCAUGCAUACGGUGGUUUUCCUGUUCUCUAUGCACCGUUACAAAACUGCAACACAAACAGCUCAUCUGUUGGCCUAAGUAUUAAACUAAGACUGAUGGAACAUGGAAAGGAAUAAGAAGCUGGAGGAGUGACAAAAUUUCCCAAGAAAAGGGGCCUCAGAAAUAGCCAUCAGAAUGGCCACUUUCAAACUUUCUGGCAAGUUCCUGUUUUGGAAAUCCCAG